rnacentral:rRNA from 1 species
UACGGGGGGGGCAAGCGUUGUUCGGAAUUACUGGGCGUAAAGGGCUCGUAGGCGGCCAACUAAGUCGGAUGUGAAAUCCCCAAGCUUAACUUGGGAACUGCAUCCGAUACUGGAUGGCUUGAAUCCGGGAGAGGGAUGCAGAAUUCCAGGUGUAGCGGUGAAAUGCGUAGAUAUCUGGAGGAACACCGGUGGCGAAGGCGGCAUCCUGGACCGGCAUUGACGCUGAACAGCGAAAGCCAGGGGAGCAAACGGG